GACAGAGGAGCCAAGCGUUGUCCGGAUUGACUGGGCGUAAAGCGCACGCAGGCUGUCGCGCGCGUGGGGGUGUGAAAUCUGGCCGCUUAACGGCCAGGCGCCAUCCCAUACGGCGCGACUGGAGUGAUGCAGAGGUCGAUGGAAUUGCCGGUGUAGUGGUGAAAUGCGUAGAGAUCGGCAGGAACACCUAGGGGGGAAACCAGUCGACUGGGCAUCUACUGACGCUGAGGUGCGAGAGCGUGGGGGAGCGAACCGG
rnacentral:rRNA from 1 species